rnacentral:tRNA from 1 species
CAGAUUAUAGUAUAUAUAUUAAAUACAUUUCAUUUACACUGAAAAAAAAAAAAAAUCUGU